UUUCCUGAUGAAUCUCAAUGUAUUCGCUGUGUUCUUGCUGAAUAUCCGUGUCGAAUAUACAUCACCUUGGAGAACUGACAA
rnacentral:snoRNA from 1 species